AUUGAACGCUGGCGGCAGGCUUAACACAUGCAAGUCGAGCGGAGAUGAGGUGCUUGCACCUUAUCUUAGCGGCGGACGGGUGAGUAAUGCUUAGGAAUCUGCCAUUUAGUGGGGGACAACAUUCCGAAAGGAAUGCUAAUACCGCAUACGUCCUACGGGAGAAAGCAGGGGAUCUUCGGACCUUGCGCUAAAUGAUGAGCCUAAGUCGGAUUAGCUAGUUGGUGGGGUAAAGGCCUACCAAGGCGACGAUCUGUAGCGGGUCUGAGAGGAUGAUCCGCCACACUGGGACUGAGACACGGCCCAGACUCCUACGGGAAGCAGCAGUGGGGAAUAUUGGACAAUGGGGGGAACCCUGAUCCAGCCAUGCCGCGUGUGUGAAGAAGGCCUUAUGGUUGUAAAGCACUUUAAGCGAGGAGGAGGCUACUGAGACUAAUACUCUUGGAUAGUGGACGUUACUCGCAGAAUAAGCACCGGCUAACUCUGUG
rnacentral:rRNA from 1 species